AAUAUUGCACAAUGGAGGGAACUCUGAUGCAGCGACGCCGCGUGAGCGAUGAAGGCCUUCGGGUCGUAAAGCUCUUUCCUCUGGGACGAUAAUGACGGUACCAGACGAGGAAGCCCCGGCUAACUACGUGCCAGCAGCCGCGGUAAUAGCUAGGGGGCGAGCGUUGUUCGGAAUUACUGGGCGUAAAGGGUACGCAGGCGGCCAGGUAAGUCAGAUGUGAAAGACUAGGGCUUAACCUUAGCAAGAAUUUGAAACUGUGUGGGUUGAGUUAAGGAGAGGAAAGUGGAAUUCCUGGUGUAGCGGUGAAAUGCGUAGAUAUCAGGAGGAAUACCAGUGGCGAAGGCGACUUGCUGGCCUUAAACUGACGCUGAGGUACGAAAGGGUGGGGAGCAAACA
rnacentral:rRNA from 1 species